rnacentral:rRNA from 1 species
AUUGAACGCUGGCGGCAGGCCUAACACAUGCAAGUCGAACGGGGCGGCGGACGGGAGAGUGAGACCUAGGUAUCUGCCUGGUAGUGGGGGUUAAGGUCCGGAAACGGGCGCUUAUACCGCAUCCUUUCAGAAGAGGCGAGGUCGGAUUAGCGGGUUGGUGGGGUAAAGGCCUACCAAGGCGACGAUCCGGAACUGGUCUGAGAGGAUGAUCAGGCACACUGGAACUGAGACACGGUCCAGACUCCUACGGGAGGCAGCAGUGGGGAAUAUUGGACAAUUGGCGAAAGCCUGAUCCAGCCAUGCCGCGUGUGUGAAGAAGGUCUUCGGGUUGUAAAGCACUUUAAGUUGGGAGGCGUUACCAGCAGAAUAAGCACCGGCUAACUACGUGCCAGCAGCCGCGGUAAUAC